rnacentral:rRNA from 1 species
UACGAAGGGGGCUAGCGUUGCUCGGAAUUACUGGGCGUAAAGCGCACGCAGGUGGCUGAGUCAGUCGAUUGUGAAAGCCCUGGGCUUAACCUGGGAAUUGCAGUCGAUACUACUCAGCUAGGGUAAUGGGAGAGGGCAGUGGAAUUCCCGGUGUAGCGGUGAAAUGCGUAGAUAUCGGGAGGAACAUCAGUGGCGAAGGCGGCUGCCUGGCCCAAUACUGACACUCAGGUGCGA